rnacentral:rRNA from 1 species
GGACCAAGGAGUCUAGCAUGUGCGCAAGUCAUUGGGAUUUGAAAACCUAAAGGCGUAAUGAAAGUAAAUAUUUACCUUGUGUAAAUUAAGGGAGGAUAAGAUACAUUCCAUAUUAUUUUUAAAUGAUUUUUAAUUAUUUAAUAUAGUAUGUUUGUUUGUAUACUUCGCACUCCCGGGGCGUCCCACACUUAUUGCAAGGUGAGGCGCACCAAGAGCGUACACGCUGGGACCC